rnacentral:rRNA from 1 species
GGACCCGCGCCGUAUUAGCUAGUUGGUAAGGUAACGGCUUACCAAGGCGACGAUACGUAGCCGACCUGAGAGGGUGAUCGGCCACACUGGAACUGAGACACGGUCCAGACUCCUACGGGAGGCAGCAGUAGGGAAUCUUCCGCAAUGGGCGAAAGCCUGACGGAGCAACGCCGCGUGAGUGAUGAAGGUCUUCGGAUCGUAAAACUCUGUUAUUAGGGAAGAACAUACGUGUAAGUAACUGUGCACGUCUUGACGGUACCUAAUCAGAAAGCCACGGCUAACUACGUGCCAGCAGCCGCGGUAAUACGUAGGUGGCAAGCGUUAUCCGGAAUUAUUGGGCGUAAAGCGCGCGUAGGCGGUUUUUUAAGUCUGAUGUGAAAGCCCACGGCUCAACCGUGGAGGGUCAUUGGAAACUGGAAAACUUGAGUGCAGAAGAGGAAAGUGGAAUUCCAUGUGUAGCGGUGAAAUGCGCAGAGAUAUGGAGGAACACCAGUGGCGAAGGCGACUUUCUGGUCUGCAACUGACGCUGAUGUGCGAAAGCGUGGGGAUCAAACAGGAUUAGAUACCCUGGUAGUCCACGCCGUAAACGAUGAGUGCUAAGUGUUAGGGGGUUUCCGCCCCUUAGUGCUGCAGCUAACGCAUUAAGCACUCCGCCUGGGGAGUA